AAGAAAGAAAAAAAAAAAAAAACAAAGAAAGAAAUAUACUGCAGGAAAUUAAAAUGGUACGUAAAACAGAAUGAUAAAAUGGUGUGCUUCCAGGUGCUAUUAAACGAUGCACUUCACUUUUCUCUAACACUGUGUGUUUUGCCUAUUAUUCCUUUGCCUUCUAAAAUGACAUUGUAGGACAAGAGCCCUUGACUUCAGUUCCCCUUCUUUGACUUCAAGUCUCCGACUUCACUCUUCCAUCCCUAACUCUCCUUCAUCCCAUCUGCUCUUCCACAAGGCCAUAACAAGCCUCCACAAUUAGAGAACAUUGCCCAUAAGGGGGGUAGGUUUCUAGUAAUUUCCAUAGUAAUUCCCAAGUAUUAUUUUCGGCGGUGGCUCCGAUCCACUUUAUGAGAACCUUUGUGAUUGUGCAGUGGCCAUGGCAUUUGACUCUAUGAUCCAUGAUGCUUUCCUGUUUUGGUUGAAGCUCGCUGCUCGCAUUAACUAGUAGGAGUGAAGAAAGUGGAUGGAUUUGCUCGCUGAGCUUCCCCUUAAGGCAGGAGAUGUGAAACAUCGGAUGAAUUCGAGUGGUAGGAGGUAAAUCCAAACAGUAAGCCCCUGCAGCCAGCCUUUGAACCACUUGGAAUGGUCCAUAAAAUCUUGGUGAAAGUUUGAGAUUGUGACUUGGAGCCACUGAUUUCUGCCGUUAGGGUUGAAGACAGAGGCCAAAUGCUGCGCUUAAGUUCACCAAAUUCAACAGACGAAGUGUAAGACAUAUCUCGUCUUUGAGGCCACUAAUGAAGCAACUCAGCUUGUGAGCGUCUGGGAGCCCUUUGAGCCUGUUUGAAAGGGCUUCAAACUCAUCUUUAUAAGCUGCUACUGAUGAAGUUUGCUUUAGCUUUUUUAGAGCUUCUAUGGGAUCAUUGUACGUUGUGGUUCUAAGAUGUAUUUGGAGUGCUUGAAGAAAGGUUGACCAACAUGUAAACUGCCUCGUGUCCUCUACAUCUCGGUACCAAAUUAGUGCUUGUCCCUCCAUGUGGUAUGAAGCCAUGAGUAACCUAUGAGCUUGAUGUGUUUGGUGAAAGUCAAAGUAGUGAGAGGCCUUAAAUAUCCACCUCUUUGGGUCUGAACCAUCAAAAUGUGGGAAAUCCAGCUUGACCCCCCUCAUUCCAUGGCACUAAUGGUCAAAGUUUUCUGGUUCCACAUCUAGUUCUCGGUGAGGCCCCCUGUUCUAGUUAGCUACCAUUGUGUGCAGCAUAUCAUUUGUCUGGUUCUGUGUAGCAACCAUAGCCCGCAUCUGAUCUCUCAGCUCCUGCAUCCCUUGCUCAUGUGACUCAACUUGCUUUGAAUUGUCUCUUGUUGUUGUUUGGAUCUAUUGCCCUUAGCCAUUAGGAACGGUGUCUCUAGAUACCAAUUGUUAUGAUUCUGAUUAUAAAAGAAAGGUAGAAGAAUAUAUAGAGGAAAAAUGAAGUGAAUUUGUAAUGAAAUAUAGAAGAAUAUGUAUUGAAUUUCACUGAAUAUUACUAAAUAAAUUGUAAGGAUAGAUGGGUUUUCAAGGAACCCUAGCCUUUAAUGUUCUGACAAGCCAA